rnacentral:rRNA from 1 species
UGGGGAAUAUUGUACAAUGGGGGAAACCCUGAUGCAGCGACGCCGCGUGAACGAAGAAGGUAUUCGUAUCGUAAAGUUCUGUCCUAUGGGAAGAUAAUGACAGUACCAUAGAAGAAAGCUCCGGCUAAAUACGUGCCAGCAGCCGCGGUAAUACGUAUGGAGCGAGCGUUGUCCGGAAUUAUUGGGCGUAAAGGGUACGCAGGCGGUUUAAUAAGUCGAAUGUUAAAGAUCGGGGCUCAACCCCGCAAAGCAUUGGAAACUGAUAAACUUGAGUAGUGGAGAGGAAAGUGGAAUUCCUAGUGUAGUGGUGAAAUACGUAGAUAUUAGGAGGAAUACCAGUAGCGAAGGCGACUUUCUGGACACAAACUGACGCUGAGGUACGAAAGCGUGGGGAGCAAACAGG